rnacentral:sRNA from 1 species
AGAGAGAGAGAGGCGGAAGACGGAGAAGGAGGGAGUCGAAGGCUUUCCCGAUCACAAAUCUCACCUCCACUACAACUCUCUUUAUACUUUUCUUGCAGAAAUAAUAAUAGAAAUCAGGAGGUGGUGGGGUUUCCAAAAAUCUUAACCUUCAACCAUCUGGGGAAAAGGCAAAAAUCCCAUCUACCGCAACUCUCAGUUCGAGAGUAAAGGUUUCCCAACAGUGAUGUCACAAGAUUGACCACAUUGAUCACAAUAUGGAGUCUGGAGAACGGUUACCAUCCUCAGCAGCCUCCUCUACUACACCAACUUCAUCUUCGACACCUUCUGUGGCUUCAGUAGUUUCAAAAGGUGGCCUUUCCACUGGAGUUGCUUCACUUAGCUCUACAAUCAACCCAUGUGAUCCAACAAAAAUUAUCACAGAAGAGGAACUGUCCUUAUCUUUUAAGAAUAGUCAUUUGCCUGAGUAUUGGUGCAUCAUUUCUUGAACAAAGCUUAUUCGGCAUGUUUGAUGUUAUUAAAUGGCAGCUUUUCUUCCCAAAGCUACCGCGGCUCCCAGUGACUUGUUUUCUAAUAAAAAUGCCUUUUGAAGAGAAAAUGGUAGUUUUACAGUGGCGAGUCCUGGCAGAUACCAGCUUAACCAAGUGAUCGAAGUUAAUGUCACCAGAACUACAUAGCAACAUUAUGGGCCCUAGAUAAAUUGCUCUGAGAAGGGCACAUUGACCAUCUUUUCUAAUAAUGCAUCACCUCUUCUAAUCAUGAGAACACAUCAAACAAACUCAACCAGAGGGACAUUUUACAAAAUACCUCUGACCAGUACACUUCAGUGUAUUAAAGUCAUAACAAAAAAGACUGAGGAAAUAACACGACUGUACAAAACUAGGGAGACACAACACCUAAAUGUAAUAUGAGAUCCUGGAUUGGAUCUUGGGACAGAGAAGUGACAUUGGUGGGAAAACUAAUUAAAUCUGAAUAAAUUCUUUAUUUUAAUUAGUUAAUCAAGGUUAAUUUCUUAGUUUGGAAAGUUGUUCUUUAGUCAUGUAAGAUGAUAACAUAAGGAGAAGUAAGGUUGGGUAGACAGUAUAUAGGAACUCUGUGUACUAUUUUUGCAACUCUUGUGAGUCAAAAUAAUCUCAAAAUAACUACUUAAAAAUAAAAAUAGGCUGGGCGCAGUGGCUCACACUUGUAAUCCCAGCACUUUGGGAGGCUGAGGUGGGCAGAUCACAAAGUCAGGAGUUUGAGACCGAACUGGCCAACAUGGUGAAACCCCAUCUCUACUAAAAAAUACAAAAAUUAGCUGGGCGUGGUGGUGGGCGCCUGUAAUCCCAACUACUCAGGAGGCUGAGGCAGGAGAAUUGUUUGAAACUGGGAGGUGGAAGUUGCAGUGAGCGGAGAUCGCACCAUUACACUCCAGCCUGGGCAACAGGGCAAGACUCUGUCUCAAAAAAUAAUAAUAAUAAUAAAACCCAAUCUGAAUAGACUUUUCUCAAGAAACAUAUAAGUGGCCAGCAGAUAUAUGAAAAAAUGCUCAACAUCACUAAUCAUUAGGGAGAUGCAAAUUAAAAUCACAAUGAGAUAUCAUCUCACACCUCUCAGAUUGGCUUUUCUCAAAUAGACAAAAGACAAGUAUUGGCAAGGAUGUGGAGAAAAGGGAAUGCUUGUACACUGUUAAUGGGGAUGUAAAUUAGUACAGCCUUUAUAGAAAAUAGUAUGGAGGUUCCUCAAAAAACUAAAAAUAGAAUUACCAUAUAAUCCAGCCAUCCUGUUUGUGGGAUUUACCCAAAGGACUUGUAAACAGUUUGUCUAAGAGAUGUCUGCACUCCCGUGUUCAUUGCAGAACAAUUAACAACAGACACGUUAAGGAAUCGUCUUUUUUAAGUGUCAAAAUAUAAAUGUUGAGAACAGCCCAAGAUGGCCAACUUCAAUGAUUGUGUGUUGGAUAAGGAGAAGGUAUGCAUAGCUGCUAAAUUCAUCACUCAUGCACCCACAGGAGAAUUUAAUGAAGUAUUCAGUGAUAUUCGGCUACUAUGUAAUAAUGACAGUCUCCUCAGGGAAAGGGCAGCACGUGCAUUUGCCCAUUAUAACAUGGAUCAGUUCACACCCGUGAAGAUGGAAGGAUGUGAAGAUCAGGUCAUAAUUACAGAGCAUGGGGGACCUGGGUAAUAGCAGAGUUUUAGAUCCAAGAAACAAAAUUUCCUUUACAUUUGAUCACGUAUAGAAAAAAGCAAGUGACCCCCAGCCAGAACAAGUAGAUGGAGGUCUGAAGUCUUGGAGAGAAUCCUGUGACAGUGCUUUAAGAGCCUAUGUGAAAGACCAUUAUUCCAACGGAUUCUGUACUGUUUAUGCUAAAAACUAUCGAUGGGCAACAGACUAUUAUUGCAUGUAUUGAAAGCCAUGAGUGUCAGCCUAAAAACUUCUGGAAUGGUCGUUGGAGAUCAGAGUGGAAGUUUACCAUCACACCACCUACAGCCCAGGUGGUUGGAGUGCUUAAGAUUCAGGUUCACUAUUACGAAGAUGGCAGUGUUCAGUUGGUUAGUCAUAAAGAUGUACAGGAUUCGCUAACUGUUUCGAAUGACGCACAAACUGCCAAGGAGUUUAUUAAAAUCAUAGAGAAUGCAGAAAAUGAAUAUCAGACAGCAAUUAGUGAAAACUGUCAAACAAUGUCAGAUACCACAUUCAAGGUCUUGCGCCGGCAGCUUCCGGUUACCCGCACCAAAAUUGACUGGAACAAGAUUACUCAGCUACAACAUUAGCAAAGAAAUGCAGAAUGCCUACAGGCUGAAUGUAGGAUUCUUCAGUAUGUGGAAAGACAAGAAUUCAACAUGUGGUCAUAUGAUAAAUAAGUGAUUUAUAAACAAGAGUGAUAUUUUGCUAGAGCUUUCAAAGUUAACCAGUUUUCUAACCUCAUGGAAUACUGUUGAACCUAUAGCAUUGUCUGAUUCUUUUGUGUUCUCUGCUUUGUAAUUUUCUGUUAUUGCUAUAUCCAAGUGUAAGUCUUUUUUUUUAAAAUUCUGCCACAUUUAAUGUUGGAGAGAGAGAUCUAUCCUAGAGACAUUUUACUGUUUAAAAAAGUUUCCUAGCCAUGAAGCGCUGCUACUGAUUUAGACAAGGUAUUAUGGUCAUUACUUUCUACCCCUAUCCUUCCAAGCACUUCUGAUACUGCAGUGGUUUUUACUGAUCCACCAGCACCUAAAGAGGCUGUACUACAGUCUAUAGCUAAGUGGAAGGCACAUUCAUCCUUCUCCCUCUGACUGCUUUGAUCAUCAUUUAUUGCAUCUCAGAACUGUAAUUUUCCAAAGUUUGGAUUGGGACUUUUCAGGUCCUUUUUGGAGGGCAAAGGAAGUGUCAGCUUCUCUGGGGAACUUGUUUUUAAAUCCAAAGACUUGAACCACAUUCCCUGCACUUGAACACGUUUGCUUUCAUCCCUUCUCUCAUUGUCUCCUUCCCAUCUUAGUACCAUUGUAGUUAUAGACAUUUGCAUUUUUAGAAGAGUUUUAGCCAUUUAUUUUUUUAAACAGUCAAGAACUGCUGACAUACUGUGGAUAUAGACUAUAAAACUUGAAAAAUGCAGAUGUUGAAGGAAUAAUAGGUAUCUUGUGCUUUAAUACUUUAUGGCAGGAUUGUACUAUAAGCAAAUGAAUUAAACAGCUAUGUAAAUCAUAAACAAAAACUGAAAAUGAACCAAAAUGAAAAGGAUAACUUCCAGGCAGUAUCUUUCUAUUGUAACCUGUUAUUUAAGGAAAUACUAACGAUUUCUUCUAAAUAGGAUGUAAAACUUAUUUCAGAUUACUCUUCCUCAGUCCUGCCUGCCAAGAACUCAAGUGUAACUGUGAUAAAAUAACCUGUCCCAGGUAUAUUGGCAGGUAUGUGUGUAAUCUCAGAAUACACAGGUGACAUAGAUAUAAUAUAACAACUGGUAAUGGUGGAUUCAUUUACAUUGCUUACAGUUCUAUGACCAGGCCUUAAGGGAAGGUCAGUUUUAAAAAAAAACAAGUAAUGUCUUCCUGCCUAUCUCCAGAUACAUGUAAAAAAAAAAACGUGUUUGUGCUUCAGUUCUGUUUUUGCUCAGUAAUAUAGUCAAGGAACAGUUUGUUUCCAAGUACCCAUUGAGCUGUGUAUGCAUUUUUGUUUAUUUCAAAUAAAAUAUAUUUGUAUUAUUUGUCAUCCAUACUAUCCAUCCAUACCACACUAUCUUCUGUAUGAGAUAGUCUAAUAGAAAUAUACCUGUUUUGUUCUAAAAAUAUAUAUAAAGGUUAACUGGCUCAAAGCAUUUUUAGAAUACAAGAGUGAAAUGAGAAUUACUUGGAGAGAAAUGUUUUGUCACCAGUAACUGUAGACUUCUUUCUGUUCUUAAUCAAAGUUCAAGUUUACAGAAUUUGGACAUUUUGAGUUCAGAAAUAUUUAAACAUUAAUAUACUUAAGAAUUUUAAUAUGUGAGCCAGUAAUUUGAAUAUUGCUUUGAUUUACAGUAAUUUUGAUGAUGUUCAUUUUGCUAUUACACUGUUAUUACUGAUAUUAAUUAAAGUCCUCAUAACAACUUUAUUUGAAUAUACCACCAUUUUUAAUGAAUAGCCAUACUUUGCAAGAUGUACAUUAGAGCCUGAUUUUUGAUGUUGCAAAUUUAUGCUUACCAUUUUGAACAACUGGAGACAAAAUUUGAAGACAUGAUAUAACAAUUUUGUGUAGCAUUGAAAGAUUAAAAGACACUUUUAGCACACAGAAAAACAUGAAGUUAUGUCAUGGUAAGCAAUUUUCUUGACUUUUAAAAAGAUUGAGUGCUUUAACAUACUUAGUUCUUACAAUUAUUUUGUUUUAUUUGCUUUCUGGACUUUUCCUUAGUGAUGGGAGAUUUUGUUCACUGGUAGUUUAGAGUCAAGGCAUUAGUUCAGUACAAUUUCAUUCUGAUAGGGGGAAAACCUUGUUGAAUUAUUCUUUAAUAUUAAUAAAGGCAUUUGUAGUUACCAUGCCUUGUUACUGACACACACCAGCAUUUGUGUACUGAUUUUAAUCACUUUUAUAUGUAGUGAUUUGAUUUGGCUAGUAGAAUUUGAAAAGCUUUGCUGAAAAAUGUUCAGCUCAUUGUAAUUUGAGAACAUAGGCAUUGCAGAUGUGUAUUAAUUUUUAUUAUGUAAAAUGUAUACAGUUACCUAUCUUAAAAUAGAAACUAAAAUAAUAUUUACAUUAAUAAUAUUGAAACUAUGUUUGAAUGUUAAUAUCUGCAAAAAAUUGUGGUCUUCUAAAAAUAUUGUUUUAUGGUAUAAUUCAUCAGCUUGCAAAUGUUUUCUCUGAGCAGAACUCAAAAGUUUUCAUCAAGACAGGUUUUGAGAGCAAUACAUCUGUUGAUAUUAAGUAUAUUAAUGUAAGAAACAUUUGCUUUUCUAAAAGUGAAACAUUCUACUAUCCAGGUAAUUUUGUUUUGUACUUAUAAGGUUAAUAGAGCCUAUUUGACUUGAGCUGUAUUUCAUUUUGUGAAAGUAUCUUUCUGCUUUUUUAUUAAUACUGAAUAUGCUUUGUUUUAAAUGUAAUUAUAGGAUUGACUGAGCCAUCAUCAGUCUAUGAUCAAAAUUUUCCUAGUGAACAGUAGUUUGAAAUGUUAAGAUAGUUGAAGACUAAAGGCAUUGUCCUGGCAAUGGAGCCAAGGGUGUAAACAAAACAGCAAUCCCUGCUGUAUAAAAAGAUUAAAGCCACAAAGUGACAUCAUUCUAAAUACCUAGUGAGCUUUUACUAACCUUGUGAGUGACUUUUGCAAUUGGAGCAAAGUGACAUGUUAUAUUUUAAUCAUUUAAAGAAUAAUUUCCGGUUAUUCUAGCCUUUUAAAAGAAGAGUGAAACAAAGAAUUGAAAACUACUGUUUUGGAGAUGCCUAUAGCAGGUAUUAUGAAGUGUUGCCUCUGCCAACUGAUAACAGUUUGCUUUGUGCAAUGUUUUGUAAACAGUAAAAAUGGUUAAGAAAUGGCUGUUUCCUUCAUAACUUUUAUACCCUAGUAAUGGUAUGAUAAAGGACAAAUUGCCAAUAAUCUAUCAUGAACAAUGAAAAGAGGCCCCAAAUAUAACUGUCUGGAGAUUCAGGAAUACUUCUUGAGCAAUAGGUUUUUGAAAUAGUUAGUAAAGAAUAUAAUUAUAAAGGGUAGAAAUCAAAGAGCAUAUUAUAUAGGCUUUGGAGGUUCUCAAGUGGAAGAAAUAAUGUGACCAAAAAUACAGCAGUGAGAAACAAUUUAUUAAAUUCUUAUUGUGUUUCAGAUUAUUGGAAAUCCUGAGCUAAAUAAGAUGCAGUUUUUGCCUCAAAGAUCUAAAAUCCUGGCUUAUAAUUCAUUUGCAUAGAGGUGAUAGUUUAAACAGUAUAAGCAUGUGAAAUACUGAAGGAGAAAGCAUAAGAGAAGGAAAGAGAUAGCUGGACAAAAUCUUUAGGAAUGUUUUACAUUUAGGGGGAAAAAAGCAAAAGAAAAUCCAAUAAAGGAGAUAGUAUUAUUGAAAGAUGUAUAGUUAAGAAGAGGAUCAAGAGGGUUCCACGACCUAGAUCUUAAGGAUGAUAAUGGGUUUUGAAAAGAAAGGACCAGGCCAGGCGCGGUGGCUCACACCUGUAAUCCCAGCACUUUGGGAGGCUGAGGCGGGCAGAUCAUGAGGUUAGGAGAUCAAGACCAUCCUGGCUAACACAGUGAAACCCCGUCUCUACUAAAAAUACAAAAAAUUAGCCGGGCAUGGUGGUGGGUGCCUGUAGUCCCAGCUACUUGGGAGGCUGAGGCAGGAGAAUGGCGUGAACCCGGAAGGCGGAGGUUGCAGUGAGCCGAGAUCGCACCACUGCCCUCCAGCCUGAGCAAUAGAGCGAGACUCCGUCUCAAAAAAAAAAAGAAAAAAGAA